rnacentral:lncRNA from 1 species
UUCAUUUCAGUUUAUGCGCCUGUCACUGCCACGUCACCCCCUCCCAUCGCUCUUCUCAUCAUCCUUUUCCGCCCUCAUGGAUUGGUGCUAAAAUCAGUCAUCUUCCUGCGAAGGCAUGAGGAGGAAAAGAGAGGAAGUAACUGAGCGAUAAUAUGCUGUAUGAGCCUCCUGCUCUGCUGCCCAUUACCUGCGUCACCUCCACAAGCUACUGAACCUCAAGGAACCCAUCUCCUCAUCAGGAAAAAAAAUAAGCUUUAUGUAG